rnacentral:lncRNA from 1 species
GCUAUGGGUCCUAUGUAAUUCCGGCUCACAGAUUGCAAUUCCUAUGGCUUCCAGUAGAUGUCAUCAGUCUUUAUUCAAUGUUUCAGGCUUGUUUUUUGAAAAACAAGCAAGAAUUUUGAGUUUUGGUGAAGAGAGCACCGGAACAAUAUCAGUCUUUCGGCGCACUUACUAAUUUUACUUUCCUAUUGAACAUACUACUUUCCGUAUGAAAUAUUAUUGUUUAUUUACAUUUUAGCGUACCUGAGGAUUAAAUAGAAACUUGUUUGACUUGUUUGGACAAAGUCUAGAAGUAUCUUUUUGGACUCCUUUGUCUGCAUGUUGAACGAGUGGAUUACUGAAAUCGAUGGCGCCAACUAAACAGACUUUUGGGGAUAAAAAUAAGGAUUUUAUCUAACAAAAUGACCAUUCAUGAUGUAGCUGGGAACCUUGGGAUUGCAAACAGAGGAGGAUUUUCAAAAAUGCACAAUUGAGAGCAUCCUGUCGGGCUGUAUCACCGCCUGGAACGGCAACUGCACUGCUCACAACCGCAGGUCUCUUCAGUGGGUGGUGAGGUCUGCACAACGCAUCACCGGGGGCAAACUACCUGUCCUCCAGGACAGCUACACCACCCGAUGUCACAGGAUGGCCAAAAAGAUCAUCAAGGACAACAACCACCCGAACCACUGCCUGUUCACCCCGCUACCCUCCAGAAGGCGAGUGGAGGAGUUGGGCACUUCUCCAACACAAUCCAUUCAUCCAUGAUGAUCCUUUUUCUGCACCGAAGACUCUGAACACCUCAACCCCCUGUCCUGCACUGAAGUCAAGCCUCUGAACAACUCUACUCAUUCCAGCAAUCGCUGCUGCCCUUACCAACACUACGGUAGCAACAAGAUGAAGCGCUGCGAUGUGUGUGGACCCAAGGACAGGAAGACACAGUACACAUUCAUCAAGUGCAAGAAAUACAUUUGCAUCACAAACACAGUAAAACUCUGUCCCUCAUGUGGUGUGUAGACCGGCGUUAACUUUUGUUCAAUGGGGCUCAUUUAUAAUUUCUGUAAAAU